UCACACCGGUUUAAACUCAGAUCAUGUAAAAUUUUAAAGGUCGAACAGACCUAAUAACUCCUAGCUUCUACACCAAAAAUUCAUUUUAAUCCAACAUCGAGGUCGCAAUCUUUUCCUUCGAUAAGAACUCUCAAAAAAUAUUACGCUGUUAUCCCUGAGGUAAUUUAAUAUUAUAAUCAUUAUUAAUGGAUCAAUUAUUCACAAAUUAGUGAUUUAAUUAUAAAAAAAGUUAAUUAAAUUUUCCAAUCACCCCAAUUAAAUAUAUUAUAAAAUUAAAAAUUUAUAUGCCAAUAAAUAUUAAUAUUAUAAAUAUAUUAAACUCUACAGGGUCUUCUCGUCUUUUAUAAAAAAUUUUAGCUUUUUUACUAAAAAAUAAAUUUCUACAAAAAUUAAAUAGAGACAGAAAUUUUUUCAUCCAACCAUUCAUUCCAGCUCCUAAUUAAGAAACUAAUGAUUAUGCUACCUUAGCACGGUCAAAAUACCGCGGCCAUUUAAUAUUCAGGGGGCAGGCUAAACCUUAAAUAAUUAUCAAAAAGACAUGUUUUUAAUAAACAGGUGAAAAAUAUAUUUGCCGAAUUCCUUUAUUUAACCUAAAUAAUAUUUAUUAAAAAUACAACAAACAAAUUAUACUAAUUCCAUCAUUAUUUCUUAAUAUUAAAAAUUAAAACUAAUAUUUUAAUAAAAAAUUUAUAAAUAAUAUAAAUAAUAUUUCAAAAAAAAUUAAUUAUAACAUUUUUUUAAUGAUAAAAACUUCUAAUUCUACAAUUUUUUCAUUUAUUCAUAAUUUAAUAAAUUUUUAUUUUCAAGCUUAUCCCUAAAAAUAUUAAAUAUCAAUAUUAAAAAAUUAAAAAUUUAACUAAUUAAUAAUUAAUAUUUAAAAUUAAAUUUUUUUCUUAAAAAACUAGAUAUAUUUAAAAACGUAUAACGUUUCAUUACUAAAGAUUUAUUUAUAAUAUUUAUUUAACAAUAAAAACUAUAAACCCUUAGCUCUUUUAAAUUCGAGAUAAUAAAAUAAAUAAUUAUAUUUAAUAGACCCUGAUACACAAGGUACAAAAAAUUAAAUUUUCUUAAUUAAAAAAAAAAAUUCUUUCACAAUACUAAUUCACUAUAAUAAAUAAAAUUUCUUCUUAAUAAAAUAAUAAAACUUAAACUUAAUUAUUAUAUAAAAUCUUAAACUUAAUAAAUAUAAUAAAUUUUUAAUU
rnacentral:rRNA from 1 species